rnacentral:rRNA from 1 species
GCGAAUGAAGCGUACACGGUGGAUGCCUAGGCAGUCAGAAGCGAUGAAGGACGUGCUAAUCUGCGAAAAGCGUCGGUAAGCUGAUAUAAAGCAUACUAGCCGGCGAUGUCCCAAUGGAGAAACCCAGUGCAUUAAUGCACUAUCGUUUGAUAAAUUCAUAGUCAAACGAAGCAAACCGGGGGAACUGAAACAUCUCAGUACCCCGAGGAAAAGAAAUCAACCGAGAUUCCCCCAGUAGCGGCGAGAAAACAGGGAGCAGCCCAAAGUCAACAUCAAUAUUUAUUGCAGGAAAAAAGUCUGGAAAGACCGGAAAUAAAAAGUGAUAGCCCCGUAUCUGAAACAGUAAGUGUUGUUAACUUGAAGAGUAGGGCAGGACACGUGUUAUCCUGUCUGAAUAUGGGGGGACCAUCCUCCAAGGCUAAAUACUCCUAACUGACCAAUAGUAAACCAGUACCGUGAAAAAAAGGCGAAAAAACCCCGGCAAAGGGAGUGAAAUAGAACCUAAAACCGUGUACGUACAAGCAGUGGGAGCACCCGAAAAAGUGUGACUGCGUACCUUUUGUAUAAAGGGUCAGCGAGCGACUUAUAUUCUGUAGCAAAGUUAACCAGAUAAAGGAGCCGUAAGAAAACCGAGUCUUAACUGGGCGUUAAGUUGCAGGGUAUAGACCCGAAACCCGGUGAUCUAGCCAUGGGCAGGUUAAAAGUUAGGUAAAACUAACUGGAAGACCAAACCAACUAAUGUUAAAAAAUUAGCGGAUAACUUGUGGCUAAAGGUAAAAACCAAUCAAACCGGGAAAUAGCUGGUUCUCCCCAAAAGCUAUUUAGGUAGCGCCUUGUGAAUUCAUCUUCGGGGGUAAAGCACUGUUUCGGCUAGGGGAUCAUCCCGACUUACCAACCCGAUGCAAACUACGAAUACCGAAGAAUGUUAUCACGGGAGACACACGGCGGGUGCUAACGUCCCUCGUAAAGAGGGAAACAACCCAGACCGCCAGCUAAAGUCCCCAAAUCAUGGUUAAGUGGGAAACAAAGUGGGAAGGCUUAAACACCCAGAAUGUUGGCUUAGAAGCAGCCAUCAUUUAAAGAAAGCGUAAUAGCUCACUGGUCAAGUCGGCCUGCACGAAAGAUGUAACGGGGCUAAACCAUGCACCGAAGCUGCGGCAGCGACAUUUAGAUGUUGUUGGGUAGGGGAGCGUUCUGUAAGCCGUAAAAGCUAGACUAAAAAGUCUAGUGGAGGUAUCAAAAGUGCAAAUGCUAACAUAAGUAACGAUAAAACGGAUAAAAAAUCCGCUCGCCGAAAGACCAAAGUUUCCUGUCCAACGUUAAUCGGGGCAGGGUAAGUCGACCCCUAAAACGAGGCUAAAAAGCGUAGUCGAUGGGAAACAGGUUAAUAUUCCCGUACUAAGGGUUACUGCGAAGGGGGGACAAAGAAGGCUAGGCUAUCCGGGCGACGGUUAGCCCAGUUUAAGCAAGUAGGUAAGUAGUGCAGGAAAAUCCGCACUGCUACAACACUGAGACGUGAUGACAAGCCACCAAAGUGGUGAAGUAGUUGAUGCCCAGCUUCCAGGAAAAGCCUCUAAGCAAUAGGUAAUCAUUAAUCGUACCCCAAACCGACACAGGUAAUUAAGUAGAGAAUACUCAGGCGCUUGAGAGAACUCGGGUGAAAAAACUAAGCAAAAUAGUGCCGUAACUUCGGGAGAAGGCACGCUGGCAUUAGGUAAAAGAUCUCGCAUCCGGAGCUAAAGCCAGUCAAAGAUACCAGCUGGCUGCAACUGUUUAUUAAAAACACAGCACUGUGCAAACACGAAAGUGGACGUAUACGGUGUGACGCCUGCCCGGUGCUGGAAGGUUAAUUGAUUGGGUAAGCCGUAAAGCAAAGCUCUUGAUCGAAGCCCCAGUAAACGGCGGCCGUAACUAUAACGGUCCUAAGGUAGCGAAAUUCCUUGUCGGGUAAGUUCCGACCUGCACGAAUGGCGUAAUGAUGGCCAGGUUGUCUCCACCCGAGACUCACUGAAAUUGAACUCGUUGUGAAGAUGCAGUGUACCCGCGGCAAGACGGAAAGACCUCGUGAAUCUUUA